AUAUCCAGGGGAUCCAGCCCGCACCCAUCAGUACACAGGGGAUACAGCCAGCACCCAUUGGGACACCAGGGAUACAGCCAGCACCAAUUGGCACACAGGGAAUCCACUCAGCAACUCCAAUCAACACUCAAGGGCUUCAGCCUGCACCAGUGGGUACUCAACAACCACAGCCUGAAGGAAAGACUUCAGCAGUGGUGUUGGCAGAUGGAGCCACGAUCAUAGCCAAUCCUAUCAGCAACCCAUUCAGUGCUGCUCCCGCAGCAACCACGGUGGUGCAGACCCACAGCCAGAGUGCUAGCACCAAUGCUCCCGCCCAGGGCUCAUCCCCCCCGGUCAAGCAUCCUCCAGAAGAAACCUGCCACAGAUGGUGCCAAACCUAAAUCUGAAAUCCACGUGUCUAUGGCCUCUCCGGUCACUGUGUCCAUGGAGACCGUAUCCAAUCAAAAUAAUGAUCAGCCUACCAUUGCUGUCCCUCCCACUGCCCAGCAGCCACCUCCAACCCUUCCAACCAUGAUUGCCGCAGCUAGUCCCCCAUCCCAGCCAGCUGUUGCUCUCUCAACCAUUCCUGGAGCUGUCCCCAUCACUCCACCCAUCACGACUAUUGCAGCUGCACCACUACCAACAGCCACUGUGAGUGGCAGCCUCUCCUCUGUCGUAGGCCCCCCUAUACCUGAGAUCAAAGUGAAAGAGGAAGUAGAGCCAAUGGACAUCAUGAGGCCAGUUUCCGGUAAGUUCAUUCACAGAAUACUCUCCCUUGACAGUUACUUCUUUCCUGCUUCCUAACACUGCACUCUAGAGUUUACCUCUUUUUUAUGUGGCCACAAACCAGGACGUAUGACUGUGGUGC
rnacentral:lncRNA from 1 species